rnacentral:lncRNA from 1 species
CGGCUGGGCACAUUGGUAAACUAAUGUUAGCUAGCCAUGCUGCCUCAUGCUAGUUGUGUUAAACCAAGCUAUAGAUUCGUUUCAUUACUGGUAGCUAGCAUGUUUUAUCUAUCAGAGAUCAUUGCUUUGGUGAUUGAUUCGAUGGGUAGUCAUGGAUACAGCACACUACUGAUUACACAGUCAACGACGUGUGCCUCACCACGCAAUAAUUACUCCAAAUGCAUAUUCUCAUUAUUUAUUACAUACCUUUCAACUUCUGUUGGAAACUGGAACAAGGAUUUUCCUCCCUUCCAUUUUACAGUAAACAAGCUAGCCAGCUAGAUAUCUACUUGGGACAAGCUAGCUACCGCCAAGAAGAGGAUGAAGACCAUUUGUGCCUUGGUGAAUAUGCAUGACGAUCAUUAGGAAAACAUCCACUAUCUAGUGCACUCGUCCUAAACAACAUAAUCUCUAUAAACAAUUAGGAAAUGGCUUCCAGGAUUCAAAGCAGCUGAUUGGUCGGCCCCAUCGAAGAUUGGAGCUCUGACCCCUCCCUCUCGUCAGGGGAUACAGCUGUCUGCAAUUACCGACUCCUGCAGCUUGAAAAGCCAGUGUUCCUUUGUUAGGAGAGAGAGCUUCUUUGAUGUCCUGUGUUGGUUGUUGUUCAGAGACAGGUUUUGUAAAGUAUUUUGUAGUUGGUCCUGCUGAGGUAUGUCUAGGCCAAAAGGACUGUGUUUGUGAUUAUUGAAAUUGUUCACUUUAAGUUAGUAAUUAUUCUGUUUGUGUUCCCAGUGGGGAAGGGGAAGGCACCUUGGGAGUUUUUAGGCAAGAGGCCUGCGGGCAUACAUAUACCCGUAGUAUGUACUCUGUCUAUGCACACUAGGUAAGACCUGGGCGGACCACCCCCUGUAUUUUGGUUAGCGCACCAGGUGACAUUAAGAAUAGGAGACUGUUACCAUGGCCGCCAUUACCAUGGCCACCAUAACCCUGUCACUGCUUCUCCCCGCUGUUCUGCUCAGAACACUGACAGAGUGUAUGGAGUGAUGCCAGACCCCCUGUGAGAUUGCUAGAGAUGCUGCGGGGGCCUAACUUGAUUGGAGACUUCACCCUGCAGUGUGACAACCAGGGACAAUACACCCCUCAGCAGUGGCCAGGCUCUGCAGUUUCUGUUGGUGUGGACAGAAGAGCCCUGGUACUGAGUCCACCAGACACUGCUCACAUAAACUGUGAGAGGACAGGAUGCCGGUGGGCGGGUCGUCAGCUACAUGGGAAACACCUGGGCCCAGCUGCGGCGUCGACUUGGCCACAGGCGUCCUCCAUGGCCUGAAUGAGGGGUACCUGAGCCUGGGGCUGGAGAUCGUAAACCUUCCACCGCCAUGCAGAGAAACUCUUCGAUAGGGUUUAGAAACGGAGAGUAUGAUGGAAGGUAUAGUACUGUCAACUGUGGAUGGUGUUGAAACCAGUUCUAGACCAAAGCAGAGGUGAAAUGACACAUUGUCCCAGAUGACAGUAUUGCAUCUGGUGCAUUUCAUUACCUGCUGUGACGAUGUGGUGCAAUCGGUCCAAAAAUGCGAGAAUGUGAGGUGUGUUGUAAGGGCCUAUUUUGGCAUGAUGGAGGAGAACCCCAUGCUGUGAAAUGGCAGCGCAAAGGGUGAUGUUACCCACACGUUUCCCUGGGACAUUGAUUAUAGCCCUGUGGCCAAUGAUAUUUCUGCCUCUCCUUCUUGCUUUUGUGAGGUUGAACCCUGCCUCAUCAAUAUAUAUGAAUUCAUGCAGGAUUUCCUCAGCAUCCAUCUGCAAAACUCCCUGAAAUACAGUGAAAGACAAGAUUGUGUAGUUCAGGAUAGGUCUAGUAUACAGUCAAUGUAAAAAAGUAAUGUGUGCAGUAUGCAACAUCACAGUGCUAAAGUGAACAAUACAAACCUCCACAUACUCAUGCUGCAGCCGUUUGACCCUCUCUGAAUUCCGCUCAAAAGGCACUGGAUAAAGUUGUUUCAUUUGAACCUGAUGUCUUUUCAGGAUGCGUGCCAGUGUUGACUGAGAGGCCUGAUGGACAUUGAGAAUGGCAUGGUCACCGAUAAUGUUGGCUUGUAGUUCUGAGCCUGAUAGGAUUAUUGGCCAAAACCAUGUUUAUUAUCUCUCUUGUGCUUGCGUGAAUAUGGGCCCCCUUCCUCUUUGUCGUUCCCGACCCUCAAUCAUAUGUAGAGAAUAAUACAUGUAACUUACUGUACAAUGUCACAGGAAGGGGUAUCACAAGUGUUGAUAUGGUGCAUACAAUAAGCGGCUGAUUACUGUAACUGUAGACAGAUCUUCUUUUACCUGUUUUCCUGUCAAAAAGUCCUUAUGACAGAUGCCACUGUAUAUCUGCUAAGAUUUGGCUGAACUCAGUCCAGCCUCCCUCAGCAUCAAUCCGUGGUUCACAACAUGGUCCACUAGUGUUGCACGAAUGUCAAUUGGAUAAGUUUGAUUCUCUUAUUCUUUGUGCACGUUCUACUCCUGCUUCAGGUCUUCCUCUGGCUCGGCCUCUUCCUCUACCUCCUUCUCCUCUGUGUACUCCUCCUCUCACCCUCACUCUUCUUCUGACUCCUUCCAUUUUGGUUGAAGGCAGGUAAACCUACCUGCUGCAUUUUUAUAGUGCUUAAACCUGAUUGGUGUGUCUACAAUUUAGCAAUCGUGUUUGUGCACCUGAUGGCUGUGUUUAACUUCUCUACGGCCGGCGGGACGAAAUCGUCCCACCUACGUAACAGCCAGUGGAAUCCUGUGGCGCGUUAUUCAAAUACCUUAGAAAUGCUAUUACUUAAAUUUCUCAAACAUAUUACUAUUUUACAACAUUUUAAAGACAAGACUCUCGUUAAUCUAACCACACUGUCCGAUUUCAAAAAGGCUUUACAACGAAAGCAAAACAUUAGAUUAUGUCAGCAGAGUACCCAGCCAGAAAUAAUCAGACACCCAUUUUUCAAGCUAGCAUAUAAUGUCACAAAAACCCAGAAGACAGCUAAAUGCAGCACUAACCUUUGAUGAUCUUCAUCAGAUGAC